rnacentral:snRNA from 1 species
AGCUUUGCGCAGUGGCAGUAUCGUAGCCAAGGAGGUUUAUCCGAGGCGCGAUUAUUGCUAAUUGAAACAUCUGGGCAACUUUAUGUUACUGUGAAGUGUUUUCAGAUUGAUAAUUUUUUUAAGCAGCCACAUCAUGCAUCUG